GUUAUGCAAAGAUCAUACUGGUAGCCUACAUUGCUUAAUAGAACUGGGUUGAACUUCUUGAGCCCCUUGCACUCGGAUGACGGGAAGCAGGAUGAUAACCAAGGCCUAAGAGAUCAUGCUUCUUAGCUAUGUUCACAAUCUGCUAACUGACUCUGAUUAACGAAAGCAAAGCUGACAUCCUCGAAAUCUAAACAGUCGAAAGGGACCUCACAAAAUCUUCUUCACCAUAGACAAUCACAAGCUUGUUGUGAUUCUAC
rnacentral:lncRNA from 1 species